UUCAACCUUUUCCUACAGCUUCGUUCCCAUGAUUUCUUCAUGUUCCCUUCUUGUCGAACUUGCUGGACCUCUGCUACUUGCCGCCAAAUACUAGGCCCGAGGGUGCAGCUGUUGUCCCUAGGUGCGCUGCCAUCAAGACGGCUGCUGCGGUACUCCACCGGUCUGAGAGGGUUAUGGGGGCGGGUCGAGAGGGAUUUUCUACCUGGAGCACCUCGUCCUCGUGUUACUAUAUCGGCACCUCUCAUAAAACCUCAAUGACUGGUUGUUGGAAACACUUGAUCCAGUUGCCAAGAUGACAUGCCACACAAUUGUUGUUCAAGCUUUGGUUUUCCGUUUACUGUAUGAAGUGUUUAUCUUAUGACAUUUUGUGUUGCUCUAUUCUGGCCCAGUCAUGUUGCUACUCUAUAUUACUACUUUGUACUACACCCAUUUUACCGGUUAUUUUGGUUCUAUGCACUGUGUACUUGAGGACGACAAGAUUAGUUAACUGAAGAUAGAUCUAAA